rnacentral:rRNA from 1 species
AUUGAACGCUGGCGGCAUGCCUUACACAUGCAAGUCGAACGGUAACAGGUCUUCGGAUGCUGACGAGUGGCGAACGGGUGAGUAAUACAUCGGAACGUGCCCGAGAGUGGGGGAUAACGAGGCGAAAGCUUUGCUAAUACCGCAUACGAUCUCAGGAUGAAAGCAGGGGACCGCAAGGCCUUGCGCUCACGGAGCGGCCGAUGGCAGAUUAGGUAGUUGGUGGGAUAAAAGCUUACCAAGCCGACGAUCUGUAGCUGGUCUGAGAGGACGACCCGCCACACUGGGACUGAGACACGGCCCAGACUCCUGCGGGAGGAAGCAGUGGGGAAUUUUGGACAAUGGGCGCAAGCCUGAUCCAGCCAUGCCGCGUGCAGGAUGAAGGCCUUCGGGUUGUAAACUGCUUUUGUACGGAACGAAAAGACUCUGGUUAAUACCUGGGGUCCAUGACGGUACCGUAAGAAUAAGCACCGGCUAACUACGUGCCAGCAGCCGCCGUAAAAC